AUUUGUCUGGUUAAUUCCGAUAACGAACGAGACCUUAACCUGCUAACUAGAUUCUUCUAUACUAUAGAUGAUAUCUUCUUAGAGGGACUAUGUGAUACAAAUACAUGGAAGUUUGAGGCAAUAACAGGUCAGUGAUGCCCUUAUAUGUCCUGGGCUGCACGCGUGCUACACUGAUGCAUACAACAAGUGCCUAACCAGACAUGGUAUGGCAAUCUCGAAUAUGCAUCGUGAUGGGGAUAGAUCUUUGCAAUUAUAGAUCUUGAACGAGGAAUUCCUAGUAAGUGCAAGUCAUCAUCUUGCAUUGAUUAUGUCCCUGCCCUUUGUACACACCGCCCGUCGCUCCUACCGAUACCGGGUGAUCCGGUGAACCUUUUGGACUCAUUUGGGAAAGAUAAGUAAACCAUAUCACCUAGAGGAAGGAGAAGUCGUAACAAGGUUUCCGUAGGUGAACCUGCRGAAGGAUCA
rnacentral:rRNA from 1 species